UUAGGAGUGCUGUUGGCAAAUCCGCAGCACGAUCUGAAGACGUGACGCGUACCGAACAUAAGUAGGGAAGUCCAGGCCCCUGGCUGUCAAGAAAAGCCGCUAUUGUUUUAUAUGUGCCCGUACCGCAAACCGACACAGGUGGAUGAGGAGAGAAUCCUAAGGCCGACGGGAGAAGUAUUGUUAAGGAACUCGGCAAAAUGACUCCGUAACUUCGGGAGAAGGAGUGCCAUGAGAGUGGCCGCAGAGAAAUGGCCCAAGCAACUGUUUAGCAAAAACACAGGUCUAUGCAAAACCGCAAGGUGAAGUAUAUGGGCUGACGCCUGCCCGGUGCUGGAAGGUUAAGGGGAGAGGUUAGCGCAAGCGAAGCUUUGGACUUAAGCCCCAGUAAACGGCGGCCGUAACUAUAACGGUCCUAAGGUAGCGAAAUUCCUUGUCGGGUAAGUUCCGACCCGCACGAAAGGCGUAAUGAUUUGGGCACUGUCUCAACGAUACACCCGGUGAAAUUGAAAUACCAGUGAAGAUGCUGGUUACCUGCGCCAGGACGGAAAGACCCCAUGGAGCUUUACUCCAGUUUGAUACUGGGAUUCGGCAUGGUAUGUACAGGAUAGGUGGGAGACUGAGAAGGUAUGACGUCAGUUGUACCGGAGUCGCUGUUGGGAUACCACCCUUACCAUGUUGGAUUUCUAACCUGUGGCCGUAAGCCGGUCAGGGGACAAUGUCAGGCGGGGAGUUUGACUGGGGCGGUCGCCUCCGAAAGGGUAUCGGAGGCGCUCAAAGGUUCCCUCAGAAUGGUUGGAAACCAUUCGAAGAGUGCAAAGGCAGAAGGGAGCUUGACUGUGACACCGACGGGUGGAGCAGGUACGAAAGUAGGACUUAGUGAUCCGGUGGUAUAAAGUGGGAUUGCCAUCGCUCAACGGAUAAAAGCUACCCUGGGGAUAACAGGCUUAUCACUCCCAAGAGUUCACAUCGACGGAGUGGUUUGGCACCUCGAUGUCGGCUCAUCGCAUCCUGGAGCUGUAGCAGGUUCCAAGGGUUGGGCUGUUCGCCCAUUAAAGCGGUACGCGAGCUGGGUUCAGAACGUCGUGAGACAGUUCGGUCCCUAUCCGGCGCAGGCGGAGGAAAUUUGAUAGGAGCUGUCCUUAGUACGAGAGGACCGGGAUGGACGGACCGCUGGUGUAUCUGUUGUACUGCCAAGUGCAUAGCAGAGUAGCCAAGUCUGGAAGGGAUAAACGCUGAAGGCAUCUAAGCGUGAAGCCCCCCUGAAGAUAAGAUUUCCCAUACCGAAAGGUAGUAAGACCCCUUGAAGACGACGAGGUAGAUAGGGCAGAGGUGGAAGUACGGUAACGUAUGGAGCUGACUGUUACUAAUCGGUCGAGGCUUUAACCAG
rnacentral:rRNA from 1 species